rnacentral:hammerhead_ribozyme from 1 species
AUCCAACUGAGGAGUCGCAAGUAGAACGAAAUUCAUGUCUUGGAU